UAAGGAAUAUUGCGCAAUGGGCGAAAGCCUGACGCAGCGACGCCGCGUGGGGGAUGAAGGUCUUCGGAUUGUAAACCCCUUUCGGGAGGGAAGAUGGGAUGGGGUAACCCAUUCGGACGGUACCUCCAGAAGCAGCCACGGCUAACUUCGUGCCAG
rnacentral:rRNA from 1 species